GGAAACUUGAAAACUACCGUUGGAUCGAAAAAUGGACGUCCAAGAUUCGUCCACAUUAUUACGAGUAAAAAAAUUUACUCAUGAGUAAACCCGUAAGUAAAAUUUUUACUUGUACUGAUGACGUGAACGAAUCUAGGACGUCCAUUUUUCAAUCGAACGGUAAUUUAUAAGUUUCC
rnacentral:pre_miRNA from 1 species